rnacentral:rRNA from 1 species
AGCAGUAGCCGCGGUAAUACGGAGGGGGCUAGCGUUGUUCGGAAUUACUGGGCGUAAAGCGCACGUAGGCGGCUUUGUAAGUCAGAGGUGAAAGCCCGGGGCUCAACCCCGGAAUUGCCUUUGAGACUGCAUCGCUUGAAUCCAGGAGAGGUGAGUGGAAUUCCGAGUGUAGAGGUGAAAUUCGUAGAUAUUCGGAAGAACACCAGUGGCGAAGGCGGCUCACUGGACUGGUAUUGACGCUGAGGUGCGAAAGCGUGGGGAGCAAACAGGAUUAGAUACCCCUGUAGUCCCUGUCUCUUAUAC